GGAUCCAGACUUUGAUCCUGGCUCAGGAUGAACGCUAGCUACAGGCUUAACACAUGCAAGUCGAGGGGCAGCAUGAACUUAGCUUGCUAAGUUUGAUGGCGACCGGCGCACGGGUGAGUAACGCGUAUCCAACCUGCCCUUGUCCACCGGAUAACCCGUCGAAAGGCGGACUAACAUGGUAUGCAGUCCACAGCAGGCAUCUAACGUGGACGAAAUGCGAAGGAGAAGGAUGGGGAUGCGUCUGAUUAGCUUGUUGGCGGGGUAACGGCCCACCAAGGCUACGAUCAGUAGGGGUUCUGAGAGGAAGGUCCCCCACAUUGGAGCUGAGACACGGUCCAAACUCCUACGGGAGGCAGCAGUGAGGAAUAUUGGUCAAUGGACGGAAGUCUGAACCAGCCAAGUAGCGUGCAGGAUGACGGCCCUAUGGGUUGUAAACUGCUUUUAUAUGGGGAUAAAGUGAGCCACGCGUGGCUUAUUGCAGGUACCAUAUGAAUAAGGACCGGCUAAUUCCGUGCCAGCAGCCGCGGUAAUACGGAAGGUCCGGGCGUUAUCCGGAUUUAUUGGGUUUAAAGGGAGCGUAGGCCGUCUGUUAAGCGUGUUGUGAAAUGUCGGGGCUCAACCUGGGCAUUGCAGCGCGAACUGGCAGACUUGAGUGCGCGGGAAGUAGGCGGAAUUCGUCGUGUAGCGGUGAAAUGCUUAGAUAUGACGAAGAACUCCGAUUGCGAAGGCAGCCUGCUGUAGCGUAACUGACGCUGAAGCUCGAAAGCGUGGGUAUCGAACAGGAUUAGAUACCCUGGUAGUCCACGCGGUAAACGAUGGAUGCCCGCUGUUUGCGUCUGACGCAAGCGGCCAAGCGAAAGCGUUAAGCAUCCCACCUGGGGAGUACGCCGGCUACGGUGCAACUCAAAUGAAUUGACGG
rnacentral:rRNA from 2 species